rnacentral:lncRNA from 1 species
AAAUAGUGGAACAAAAGGACCAACUUCCUCGGAGCUUUGCUGAAACUGCACAAAAAAUCGAGCUGGGGGGUUCCCUGGUCCCUGGCGAUGGGGCGGGGAGCACAGCGCCGAGGGAGGGGGCGGGAGCGGCAGCCCGGGCCCCGCCGAGGGGGGACACCUGGCUGAGGCACAGCUGCCGCCGCGCCGCUCCGCGCGAGCGCUCCCGUCUCUGCGCGGGCUCGAGAGCUCGCUCCGACCGGGGGUCUUCCUCCACCGUUGACAGGUUUUGA